UGGGGAAUAUUGCACAAUGGAGGGAACUCUGAUGCAGCGACGCCGCGUGAACGAAGAAGGCUUUCGAGUCGUAAAGUUCUUUUAUAUGGGAAGAUAAUGACGGUACCAUAAGAAAAAGCCCCGGCUAACUACGUGCCAGCAGCCGCGGUAAUACGUAGGGGGCUAGCGUUGUUCGGAAUCACUGGGCGUAAAGGGUUCGCAGGCGGAAAUGCAAGUCAGGUGUAAAAGGCAGUAGCUUAACUACUGUAAGCAUUUGAAACUGCAUAUCUUGAGAAGGGUAGAGGUAAGUGGAAUUUUUAGUGUAGCGGUGAAAUGCGUAGAUAUUAAAAAGAAUACCGGUGGCGAAGGCGACUUACUGGGCUCAUUCUGACGCUGAGGAACGAAAGCGUGGGUAGCAAACAGG
rnacentral:rRNA from 1 species